GGCCCCGUAGUCUAAUGGAUAAAAUAGCCCCCUCCUAAGGGGUAGCUACAGGUUCGAUUCCUGUCGGGGCCGCCA
rnacentral:tRNA from 1 species